CCUCGCACGCCGUCCAUUAACAUUUUCCUAUGUUACGCUUAGUGUUGUGCAACUUCAAUGUGAGCUUUGUGAAAAAAACGAAUGGCAAAUAUCUACAG
rnacentral:lncRNA from 1 species